GAUCUGGCUCAGGAUGAACGCUAGCUACAGGCUUAACACAUGCAAGUCGAGGGGCAGCAUGAUUGAAGCUUGCUUCAAUUGAUGGCGACCGGCGCACGGGUGAGUAACACGUAUCCAACCUGCCGAUAACUCGGGGAUAGCCUUUCGAAAGAAAGAUUAAUACCCGAUAGUAUAGUAUUUCCGCAUGGUUUCACUAUUAAAGAAUUUCGGUUAUCGAUGGGGAUGCGUUCCAUUAGAUAG
rnacentral:rRNA from 1 species